GAGUUUGAUCCUGGCUCAGAAUGAACGCUGGCGGCAUGCCUAACACAUGCAAGUCGAACGAAGGCUUCGGCCUUAGUGGCGCACGGGUGCGUAACGCGUGGGAAUCUGCCCUCAGGUUCGGAAUAACAGCGAGAAAUUGCUGCUAAUACCGGAUGAUAUCGCGAGAUCAAAGAUUUAUCGCCUGAGGAUGAGCCCGCGUAGGAUUAGCUAGUUGGUGUGGUAAAGGCGCACCAAGGCGACGAUCCUUAGCUGGUCUGAGAGGAUGAUCAGCCACACUGGGACUGAGACACGGCCAGACUCCUACGGGAGGCAGCAGUGGGGAAUAUUGGACAAUGGGCGAAAGCCUGAUCCAGCAAUGCCGCGUGAGUGAUGAAGGCCUUAGGGUUGUAAAGCUCUUUUACCCGGGAUGAUAAUGACAGUACCGGGAGAAUAAGCUCCGGCUAACUCCGUGCCAGCAGCCGCGGUAAUACGGAGGGAGCUAGCGUUAUUCGGAAUUACUGGGCGUAAAGCGCACGUAGGCGGCUUUGUAAGUUAGAGGUGAAAGCCUGGAGCUCAACUCCAGAAUUGCCUUUAAGACUGCAUCGCUUGAAUCCAGGAGAGGU
rnacentral:rRNA from 1 species